CUGGCUCCCUCUAACACGCCCGUCUUUCUUCCACAGGGACGCCACUGGCGAGUCCUCCACGACCUCGGUGCCACCAUACCCCCCUCGUUCGGAUCACGCAGACGCCGGAUCCGCUCCUCCCCAACAAGGCCGCCACCGGAUGCCUCCUCCUCGGCAGCCACCGUCCCCGGAUCCAGCUCUACCUGGCUUGCUCCUCCGGCAAGAACAUCGGCAUCAGCAGGAUCUAUUCUGGACCUGAACCCCAAGUCCCAGAACUAGAGCAAGGGAAGCAGUAGGUGCAGGUGAAAAUGCAUCGAUAUUCGGCCAGGCCAACUACUACAAGAUGCUCACCGAGGUUCCAAGCGCAAGCAGAUAAUCCAUCUGCCAAUGCUCCAGGAAUGACUUCCGUACGUCCUCACCAUCUCUGUGUGCACAACAUAUUAGAUACUUGCAUGAUGUAUUUGGAGCCUGCUAAGUUCGUCGCAAAGCUGAGCGAACUGAAACGGAUGGAAGCUCCUGCUAUUCAAGUGCAAUCUCGGUGUUGGGUACUUCUCCAACUCAGGAAGGUAAAGAAUGGAGGCGACUUCAUGUUAUUACUUGUUCUGCGAUUAAUGUCGGGUGCUUGUUACUGUCUUCUUUGUUUACAAUUUAGUUCGUACCAAAAGAAAUAGCAUUGUGUCUGCAGCCUAACUUAUCCUUUUUAACAUGCAUUUUUGAGAAACUGCAAGAAGAUGCCUUCACUUAUGCCUUCAUCCUCAAGUUAGUGGCCCUUUUUCAGGGAAUUUUUUGAAGCAGUAGCGAUUCUGUCAAGUGAUGCUUAUAAUGUUAUUCUAUAUCUGGUGUUUUACUCUCUGAGCUUACCUGUAGGUACCUAUGGUUGUUUACUCUUUGACAGUAUGGAACAUAGCUGAAGUUCGAAGAACUACAGGCUGAAGAAAUUCGGCUGUACUGUUACUCAACAAAUAGCAGCUCUUAUCUUAUGAUUAUAUUAUGGUGUUUGUUUCUCUCUUUUCUGACAGGAAUAUUGUAAUAGACUUAGCUGUUACUUGAUGAGUGUUGAUCUGUCAUUUUUAGAUACUCGUUUUUAGUAUGUUGUAAUGAAAACUGGGUUGUUAUUUAUCUAGAAUGCCGUAGGCUUUGAAC